CGGGAGCAGGGAAGGCAGGCCAGGCCCGAAAAUGCAUUCGCGGUGACAUCACUGCCUUUCCCACAGAGCCAUUGACACGGGAGGCCACAGUGCCCAUUCACUGCCCCAAAGCCGCUCUCCAGGCCCCGGGAGCCACCUCCCUCUUCCUGAAUGCCGUUUUUGUUGGGAAACAGUGGAGCGUUUCUGAAGGCCUGCAUAAAUGACUGAGUAAUUCACUGCAGUUGCCAGGAAGUCUGAGCCACUUGUGAGCCAACAAUAGUGAACUUUAUCUCCCGCCCCAAGCUGGAAGUUCCAGCUGUAGGUCCCGAAUUCUAAUGAGGGCCCUACUCAUGCCUCUGAGGUUAUGGUGAUAUUUUACCCAUCUUUUCUUUUUCUUUUUCUUUUUUAACCAAGACACUGUUAUUGCUGCUACUGAGAACCGGAGCUGAAAACUCGGCAGCCAAGGCUGGUGAUGUGCUUGGCAUGAGCAUGGGGCCGUUAGUUCCCUGGUGUAUAGGGAAAUGCCUGGCUCACUGCUUAGCAAUCGCCUAUCUCAGGCCAAUUCUGCCUUAAAAGCUGGUUCUCAGCUAGCUGAACUAGAAGUCAACGCGCCACCUUGUCGGCCCAAGGACACACCCUAAAGUGCCAGCAGAGAAGGUCAAGAAUUCUAAUCCCCUGGGUGACCCCAGAAGGAAGGAUUCUAGUGGCUGGUCACUGUGAUGACAGACAGACACUAUGAAGAACUUCCCAUGUGGGCUCUCAUACCCAUGGCCCCAGUUGCUCUCCAGGAUGUCCCUCAGAGGUGACUAGCAUUUCAACCACACCUAUACCAGUGUCUGGGGACCCACUGUGGCCUUUGUAGGUGGCAGAGGUCUGUUUCUCCAGCUCCUAAGGUCUGUUUCAGGUUUCUCAUGAUCUUCUUGAAUAGGAGCCCCUCAUCAAGAUCAGAGGUCUCCUGAGGGUGGGGUGGGGGACGGCAUGUGCCUGACAGCUUGACCUCCUUGUCCAUCCUUCCAUGAAAAUAUACCAAAUAAAACAUCAGGAGUCAUGCGUUCA